UCCCUUGUGGCUUAGAGGUUAAAAGUGUCUGCCUGCAAUGCGGGAGACCUGGGUUCGAUCCCUGGGUCGGGAA
rnacentral:tRNA from 1 species